rnacentral:rRNA from 1 species
GCUUGUCUCAAAGAUUAAGCCAUGCAUGUCUAAGUACAUACUUUUGCACGGUGAAACCGCGAAUGGCUCAUUAAAUCAGUUAUGGUUCCUUAGAUCGUUCAUAUUACAUGGAUAACUGUGGUAAUUCUAGAGCUAAUACAUGCAAAAAGCUCCGACCGUAUGGGAAGAGCGCUUUUAUUAGACCAAAACCAAUGGGAUCGCAAGAUCCCUUUGUAUGGUGACUCUGGAUAACUUUGUGCUGAUCGCAUGGCCUAGAGCCGGCGACGUAUCUUUCAAGUGUCUGCCCUAUCAACUGUCGACUGUGAUAUAGACGCUCACAGUGGUUUUGACGGGUAACGGGGAAUCAGGGUUCGAUUCCGGAGAGGGAGCCUUAAAAACGGCUACCACAUCCAAGGAAGGCAGCAGG